UACGUAGGGCGCAAGCGUUGUCCGGAUUUAUUGGGCGUAAAGAGCUCGUAGGCGGUUUGUCACGUCUUCCGUGAAAACUAUAGGCUUAACCUGUAGCUUGCGGUGGAUACGGGCUGACUGGAGUGCGGCAGGGGAGACUGGAAUUCCUGGUGUAGCGGUGAAAUGCGCAGAUAUCAGGAGGAACACCGGUGGCGAAGGCGACACGCUGGGCCGUACCUGACACUGAGGCGCGAUAGCAUGGGGGAGCAAACAGG
rnacentral:rRNA from 1 species